rnacentral:rRNA from 1 species
CCUACGGGAGGCAGCAGUAGGGAAUCUUUCACAAUGGGCGAAAGCCUGAUGGAGCAACGCCGCGUGCAGGAUGAAGGCCUUCGGGUUGUAAACUGCUUUUAUAAGCGAGAAAUAUGAUGGUAACUUAUGAAUAAGGAUCGGCUAACUACGUGCCAGCAGCCGCGGUCAUACGUAGGAUCCGAGCAUUAUCCGGGGUGACUGGGUGUAAAGAGUUGCGUAGGUGGCAUAAUAAGUAGCUAGUGAAAUCUGGUGGCUCAACCAUUCAGACUAUUAGCUAAACUGUUAAGCUCGAGACCGUUAGGGGUAACUGGAAUUUCUAGUGUAGGAGUGAAAUCCGUAGAUAUUAGAAGGAACACCAAUAGCGUAGGCAGGUUGCUGGGACGGUUCUGACACUAAGGCACGAAAGCAUAGGGAGCAAACGGGAUUAGAUACCCCAGUAGUC